AUUGAACGCUGGCGGCAUGCCUUACACAUGCAAGUCGAACGAUGAAACCUAGCUUGCUAGGUCGAUUAGUGGCGAACGGGUGAGUAACACGUGACUAACCUGCCCCUUUCUCUGGGAUAACGCUCCGAAAGGAGUGCUAAUACCGGAUACUCACAUCGAGGCACAUGCCUUGGUGUGGAAAGUUUUUCGGAAAGGGAUGGAGUCGCGGCCUAUCAGCUUGUUGGUGAGGUAACGGCUCACCAAGGCGACGACGGGUAGCCGGCCUGAGAGGGCGACCGGCCACACUGGGACUGGGACACGGCCCAGACUCCUACGGGAGGCAGCAGUGGGGAAUAUUGCACAAUGGGCGCAAGCCUGAUGCAGCGAUGCCGCGUGAGGGAUGAAGGUCUUCGGAUUGUAAACCUCUUUCAGUAGGGACGAAGCGAAAGUGACGGUACCUAAAGAAGAAGCACCGGCUAACUACGUGCCAGCCGCCGCGGUAAAAC
rnacentral:rRNA from 1 species